rnacentral:rRNA from 1 species
AAAAUACGGGAGGCAGCAGUGAGGAAUAUUGGUCAAUGGGCGAGAGCCUGAACCAGCCAAGUCGCGUGAAGGAUGACUGUCUUAUGGAUUGUAAACUUCUUUUAUACGGGAAUAACAAGAGUCACGUGUGACUCCCUGCAUGUACCGUAUGAAUAAGCAUCGGCUAACUCCGUGCCAGCAGCCGCGGUAAUUUUU